AUACGUAGGGUGCGAGCGUUGUCCGGAAUUACUGGGCGUAAAGAGCUCGUAGGUGGUUUGUCGCGUCGUCUGUGAAAUUCCGGGGCUUAACUCCGGGCGUGCAGGCGAUACGGGCAUAACUUGAGUACUGUAGGGGAGACUGGAAUUCCUGGUGUAGCGGUGAAAUGCGCAGAUAUCAGGAGGAACACCGGUGGCGAAGGCGGGUCUCUGGGCAGUAACUGACGCUGAGGGGCGAAAGCAUGGGUAGCGAACAGGUUUGGAUGCCCUGGUAGUCCAUGCCGUAAACGGUGGGCGCUAGGGGUAGGGGUCUUCCACGACUUCUGUGCCGUAGCUAACGCAUUAAGCGCCCCGCCUGGGGAGUACGGCCGCAAGGCUAAAACUCAAAUGAAUUGACGGGG
rnacentral:rRNA from 1 species